rnacentral:lncRNA from 1 species
CUAAGAAUAGAGAAACGACCCCUUCAAAAGAUAGAGGUUCAAAGAACCGGAAUUAUUUUUUGAAAGGGCAUUCUACUAUUCCUAGUAGGAAUCUACUGGACCCUACCUACACUCAGCUUUAUUAAAGGCUAAACCCUACACUCAGCUUUAUUAAAGGCUAAAGGAAUCUGUCAGCUUUAUUAAAGGAGACAGCACAUCUGCUUUAUUAAAG